rnacentral:tRNA from 1 species
AACUGUUAAAAAGUGUUUUGAAAGCACUCUAAGGGCUUAAGCCCAACAGUUAAUUUAUA